CUUAUCUAUGUGCCACCCCAUAACUUUAGCUAUUUUUAAGAAGAGUGGAAGUUUCCAAAAAAAUUGACUUAAGAGUUGCCUUGGGUCAAUCCUAGCUUGCUACGUGGCAGAUUACGGUGGGUUCCAAAGCAUCUUCAUGAAUUGCUCCUCAAGACUUCAAAUAGAUAAGGCCAUCAUUCUGGGCUGUGACAUUUGAUGUUUCAGAAUCCAAUAGGUGGCAUAGCCUGAUCGCUUAGACAUGGGGUGUCCAUUGCAGGGUCCUAUAUAAAUAGACCCCUUGGGCAGGCACAUUUGUCAGAAAAUAUUCUUUCUUCUUGUUGUCUUGUUGUGAUGGAGCUAUCACCGC
rnacentral:lncRNA from 1 species